GCAGGUGUGGCCUGACCUAACAUGCUGACGUCUGUUGGUCAUAAAGUCCAUAAUCCAGUCCAUAUCCAAUAAUAAGAACCAUUAUUAAUAUUAUGUGACACAUCCCCAUAGUGGUGUGUUCCUGCAUCUGAUUUUUGUUGACCGAAAAUCCAUAAAGACUAAUGUUCUCUUUCACUAUAGGGAGCUUUUGCUUUCUGGAAGAUGUCUGUCACAAAGGUGUUAUGCAAUAUCAACUUGGCUAACUGUGUGUUAGAUAUAUUACAUAAUAAAAUGUCAUAGCACACACUAUAUUCACUUUUUUGGAACUCAUUCACACAUACCAUGAAUUUAAUAUAAUAAGGUUUUGUAUAAAAGUGUGAACUAAAGCAUGACCUUUUCUCCACGUCUUUGUCUAGAUGUCAGUAUGACUCUACUCACCAGAGAACCCUGAGAGACUGAGUUACAGUCCGCUUCUACAGAUAUGCCUGUAAUGGAAUCUUCCACUUUAAUGCUUACAGCUUACAUGUUUGCUCUCUCAGAUGCUCAUUUUCCUCAUUUCCUGUUUUAUAUAUCUGCUGCUGUCUCAUCCCAGCGUGCUUUGUAUCCCGCGAGGUGACCUUACAGCGGCCCAGUGGAGAGCUCUGAAGUAUUCCUCGUUAGAUGAGAGUGCUGUCUGUCUCCUUGUGUUUUCGGUUGAAAAUGAUGCCAUUACGCCUGCUCGCCACCUCUCUCUGUCACCCUAACGAAGCAUGGGCCGCUGCGUCGCUCAUGCUGGCACGACAGGUGUGCGGCUGCUGCUCGCACCAGCAGUGACUGAAGACUCUCGGCUCGCUGCAGGUCCUGUAUCUUUCUUCAGACUCAGCAUGCGAAUUGCUCUUUUUUUAUGGUCCCUGUGUCAUAUUCUCUUCUAAACAAGCUCUCUGUUGUGCUGCAAGUGUAUUAAAACACUGCCGCCUGACCGAAGGUACUUCAUGAUUAGACUAUGGUGAAUAAGAUUGAAGUUGAAAAUAAAACAGAGUCCCGGCGGAACCGAUUGUGUAAGUGCCACCAUGCUUUUUUCCAGCUGGCCAUUUCAGUUGAUUCGACUAUUCCCCUUGAGGUAAAAGGCAUUUUUGAUGGAAUCCGAGGCCUUAGUGUUUGUCAGACGCCUGUCUGUAAUUUGUGAUUACAGCACAAGCAAAGGAGGUGGCAGAGAUUAAUUCAGUCCAACCCACGAAUCUGAUUGCCUGCAUUUGCAUAUUAAUAAGAAAAUCUCUCAAAUGUUUUAUUUUUUUUUUUCCUUUUCUUCAAGUGUUCUCUCUUUAACUUCGGCAGGUGCUGAGGCAGAAGAUGAUGCAGAAGACUGAUUUUAAAAAUGAGAGGAAAAAUCUGAUAUUUACAGCACUUGCAUCUGGCGAUCUGAGAAAUAUGCUGGAUGGCCCUGGUUUAAAUUCAAUUCUUCAACACAAGCCAUUUAUUAAGGAGUGAGGGCAGGCUAAGAGUGGAGACUGAGGUGGGGUGAGAUGAUAAAGCAAAUUAAUGUCCUCUUUUCACCGGUAAACGCACACACACACAUGCGCGUGCACACAUUGGGAUGCUAUUUAGCCAGCUUGGGGGGAGAGUCAGUGGUUGUAAACAGGACUAGCGGCAUGCGUAUGACUGCCUGUACACUGCCCAAAAACACUGCCGAGGACAUGGAGUAAAACGGGCUGUCAAUCUUCCCUCUCCACUGCUUAAUCUUGUGCUGUUGGGCUUAUCAGGGAGAAAUGCCUUUACAAGACACCAAGACAAUAACACAUCACCUCACGCUAACCACAAAAUAUCUGGUCAAUUAUGCUAACACCAACCCGCUGAGGCUGCAAUAGCCUAUUAUUUUAGCUCUAGUGAUAUAGAGGUCACACGUUAUAUUACAGGGUUUGUGGUAAUGUGUAUGUACAAAAGUAUAAUUGAAAUGACACAAUGUCAUUACUGUAGUAAUUUUAGUAAUGUUAUACUGUAUGUGUAAAGUAAACCUAUCAUGGUUGAUAUUAAUGCUGUAAUGCUCUAAGUGUUAUAUAACACCAAACAUUAAGCUCCAACCUGGAUUAAACACACCUACCUGCAACUUUGUAGUAAUCCUGAAGACCUUGAUUAGCUUGUUCAGAUAUGUUUGAUUAGGGUUGGAGCUAAACUCUGCAGGAAAGUGGAUCUCGCGGUCUGGAGUUGAGGACCCUCAACUAUAUAGUGUGGGAAAAAUAUAGCGUCCAGCACAACAAAUAUCGCAACGAAAUAAUUUCCACCAAAGUGAAGUCAAAUAAUUUGGGAGUUUUAA